rnacentral:rRNA from 1 species
CCUACGGGAGGCAGCAGUGAGGAAUAUUGGUCAAUGGGCGCGAGCCUGAACCAGCCAAGUAGCGUGAAGGAUGACGGCCCUACGGGUUGUAAACUUCGUUUAUAAAGGAAUAAAGUGAGGCACGUGUGACUUUUUGUAUGGACUUUAUGAAUAAGGAUCGGCUAACUCCGUGCCAGCAGCCGCGGUAAUACGGAGGAUCCGAGCGUUAUCCGGAUUUAUUGGGUUUAAAGGGAGCGUAGAGGGGUUGUUAAGUCAGUUGGGCAAGUUUGCGGCUCAACCGUAAAAUUGCAAUUGAUACUGGCAGUCUUGAGUACAGUUGAGGUAGGCGGAAUUCGUGGUGUAGCGGU